GACGAACCGUGCGAACGUUAUUCGGAAUCACUGGGCUUAAAGCGCGUGUAGGCGGCCCGGCACGUCCGUCGCUGAAAUCCCCCGGCUCAACCGGGGAAGUGGCGUGGAUACGACCGGGCUGGAGGGGGGUAGGGGGAGCCGGAACUUCCGGUGGAGCGGUGAAAUGCGUUGAGAUCGGAAGGAACGCCCGUGGCGAAAGCGGGCUCCUGGACCCCACCUGACGCUGAGACGCGAAAGCCAGGGAGCGGAACGGG
rnacentral:rRNA from 1 species